GACAGAGGGGGCAAGCGUUGCUCGGAAUCACUGGGCGUAAAGGGCGCGUAGGCGGGAUGGCAAGUCAGUCGUGAAAUCUCUCGGCUCAACCGAGAAACGUCGGCUGAUACUGCCGUUCUUGAGGGAUGCAGAGGAGACUGGAAUUCCCGGUGUAGCGGUGAAAUGUGUAGAGAUCGGGAGGAGCACCGGUGGCGAAGGCGGGUCUCUGGGCCGAUACUGACGCUGGAGGAGCGAAAGCGUGGGGAGCGAACAGG
rnacentral:rRNA from 1 species